rnacentral:rRNA from 1 species
CCAGCCACACUGGAACUGAGACACGGUCCAGACUCCUACGGGAGGCAGCAGUGGGGAAUAUUGCACAAUGGGGGGAACCCUGAUGCAGCCAUGCCGCGUGUAUGAAGAAGGCCUUCGGGUUGUAAAGGACUUUUGUUAGGGAAGAAAAGCCGGGUGUUAAUACCACCUGGUGCUGACGGUACCUAAAGAAUAAGCACCGGCUAACUACGUGCCAGCAGCCGCGGUAAUACGUAGGGUGCGAGCGUUAAUCGGAAUUACUGGGCGUAAAGCGAGCGCAGACGGUUAAUUAAGUCAGAUGUGAAAUCCCCGAGCUCAACUUGGGACGUGCAUUUGAAACUGGUUAACUAGAGUGUGUCAGAGGGAGGUAGAAUUCCACGUGUAGCAGUGAAAUGCGUAGAGAUGUGGAGGAAUACCGAUGGCGAAGGCAGCCUCCUGGGAUAACACUGACGUUCAUGCUCGAAAGCGUGGGUAGCAAACAGGAUUAGAUACCCUGGUAGUCCACGCCCUAAACGAUGACAAUUAGCUGUUGGGACACUAGAUGUNUUAGUAGCGAAGCUAACGCGUGAAAUUGUCCGCCUGGGGAGUACGGUCGCAAGAUUAAAACUCAAAGGAAUUGACGGGGACCCGCACAAGCGGUGGAUGAUGUGGAUUAAUUCGAUGCAACGCGAAGAACCUUACCUGGUCUUGACAUGUACGGAAUCCUCCAGAGACGGAGGAGUGCCUUCGGGAGCCGUAACACAGNUGCUGCAUGGCUGUCGUCAGCUCGUGUCGUGAGAUGUUGGGUUAAGUCCCGCAACGAGCGCAACCCUUGUCAUUAGUUGCCAUCAUUAAGUUGGGCACUCUAAUGAGACUGCCGGUGACAAACCGGAGGAAGGUGGGGAUGACGUCAAGUCCUCAUGGCCCUUAUGACCAGGGCUUCACACGUCAUACAAUGGUCGGUACAGAGGGUAGCGAAGCCGCGAGGUGAAGCCAAUCUCAGAAAGCCGAUCGUAGUCCGGAUUGCACUCUGCAACUCGAGUGCAUGAAGUCGGAAACGCUAGUGGAGGUCGCUAGAU